GAAGAAGUCAAGAGCCAUUGGAGCCGUCAUGUUCCCGAGGGUGCUGCUCUUGAAGCUGGAUGGAAUACCAAGUUUGCUGAAUAUGAGAAGAAGUAUGCAGAGGAAGCUGCAGAUUUGAAAUCCAUCAUUACUGGUGAACUACCUGCUGGCUGGGAGAAAGCUCUUCCUACUUACACUCCCGAGAGCCCAGCUGAUGCCACGAGAAACUUGUCACAACAAAACCUUAAUGCUCUUGCCAAGGUUGUACCUGGUUUCCUUGGUGGUAGUGCUGAUCUUGCUUCAUCAAACAUGACUCUUUUGAAAAUGUUUGGUGACUUCCAAAAGAACACUCCAGAAGAGCGUAACUUAAGGUUUGGUGUUCGUGAACAUGGUAUGGGAGCGAUAUGUAAUGGGAUUGCUCUACACAGCCUUGGCUUGAUCCCGUAUUGUGCUACUUUCUUUGUGUUCACUGACUACAUGAGAGGAGCCAUGAGAAUAUCAGCCUUGUCUGAAGCUGGAGUUAUUUAUGUUAUGACUCACGAUUCAAUUGGUCUAGGAGAAGACGGUCCAACUCAUCAACCCAUUGAGCACUUGGCUAGUUUCCGUGCCAUGCCAAACAUUCUGAUGUUCCGUCCAGCAGAUGGUAAUGAGACAGCAGGAGCUUACAAGGUGGCUGUCCUUAAGAGGAAAACACCAUCAAUCCUUGCCCUCUCUCGGCAAAAGUUGCCACAACUUGCGGGAACUUCUAUUGAAGGAGCAGCAAAGGGUGGCUACAUUGUAUCAGACAAUUCUUCAGGCAACAAACCUGAUGUCAUUUUGAUCGGUACUGGUUCCGAGUUGGAAAUUGCUGUCAAGGCUGCUGAUGAACUCAGAAAGGAAGGGAAGGCGGUGAGAGUUGUCUCCUUUGUGUCUUGGGAGCUUUUCGAUGAACAAUCAGCUGAGUACAAGGAAAGUGUCCUCCCAGCUGCUGUUACCGCUAGAGUUAGCAUUGAAGCUGGAACCACAUUUGGGUGGGAGAAGAUCGUCGGAUCCAAGGGGAAGGCCAUUGGAAUUGACAGAUUCGGUGCCAGUGCCCCAGCUGGAAAAAUAUACAAGGAGUUUGGAAUUACAGCAGAGGCUGUUAUAGCUGCAGCUAAACAAGUUUCUUAGACUCUUAUGUGUCUACCAAAGCUGUUUUCGUUUUGGUUCUGAGGUUGGAGAUAAUGGUGGAAACCGAUACCAAGUAGCCUCUGCAGUUCUGAUAUUUUCAAUAAAGACAAUCACUUCAUCAUUUUCUUCAGUUUGAGCAGCGGGGCGACCAGAAUGACCCCAAGAUGAGGAUAGAAAUAGGCUUUUAUGGAUGCUCCUGACCCAUGUACACUUAAACAUAUCUUUGAGUUUUGUAACUUCCGUUUGGUUGAGUGAUAAUGAGGUCCAAUUUUCAAUUGGAAUUUCAGGUCUUCAGAUUAAAAAA
rnacentral:misc_RNA from 1 species